AGUGAACGCUGGCGGUAGGCCUAACACAUGCAAGUCGAACGGCAGCACAGUAAGAGCUUGCUCUUACGGGUGGCGAGUGGCGGACGGGUGAGGAAUACAUCGGAAUCUACUUUUUCGUGGGGGAUAACGUAGGGAAACUUACGCUAAUACCGCAUACGACCUACGGGUGAAAGCAGGGGAUCUUCGGACCUUGCGCGAUUGAAUGAGCCGAUGUCGGAUUAGCUAGUUGGCGGGGUAAAGGCCCACCAAGGCGACGAUCCGUAGCUGGUCUGAGAGGAUGAUCAGCCACACUGGAACUGAGACACGGUCCAGACUCCUACGGGAGGCAGCAGUGGGGAAUAUUGGACAAUGGGCGCAAGCCUGAUCCAGCCAUACCGCGUGGGUGAAGAAGGCCCUCGGGUUGUAAAGCCCUUUUGUUGGGAAAGAAAAGCAGCAGGUUAAUACCCCGCUGUCCUGACGGUACCCAAAGAAUAAGCACCGGCUAACUUCGUG
rnacentral:rRNA from 1 species